AUAACUGGAAGUAAAAGGACGGAGGGACGAAAGGGAUGUAACACGCAGGCGCUUGAGAGGGAGGCCGGGUGGGUGUCGCACAGACGCAGGGUAAGAGGGACGCCUCACCCCGUUGCCCAGUAACCGGGAGGCGGGGCCUAGGAGUCCCCCUCCCCGCAACCCCUGGGUAGUCCGACCGCGCAGUGGGCUUGUCCUACGGACCGACACUAGCACUCUGCUCCGGUAGUGCAUGCAGACUGGGCGCAGCGGAUAUUGAAAAUCCGCAACGGGCAAAGUGUAGCUCCCUUGUGUCAGUAACCCCCCAGCUUGGGGUGUUGGAAACACUUGGAUCUCAAGGUUACAGCUUUGGGCUUUAAUAACCGUCGAGUCAACACACCCAGCUGCUUGUGUUAACCCAAUGGUAUCAGAGCUCUCAGUCUUCAGCCAAAUCUCCAGGAUUUUUUUCCUCAGCUGCCAGAGGCAGCAGCAACUCGUUCUUUUUCAGCAGAAACUAAAGAAUAGGCUGUGUUUGACAAGAGACUAGAACCGUUAAAGUGAAACUUGCUUUACCGGGACAAUCAAUAUUGGCCAGCUGGGGCUGAAGAAUCCUCCAUGGCUAAGAACAGACCACCAUCAUUGAGGCAACAUCUGGGAAACAUUUUAUCAGUGUCAGCACACAGAAACUGUGGUCUAUCCGGGGCCAAGUCUAAACUUUGUGCUGGCAGCCAAAUUUGGUAAUGUGUAAGAGUCACGGAGGUGGUACUGGUUUUGAAGGUGUGAAGGGGUCAUGGAGAGCAGCUGAAGCUUGGUGCCGGUGAGAGGCUGGGAGAGCACAGAGGAGAAGUUGCAGCCCACUUCCAGCAGAGACCCAAGCAUUUUGGAGGCGUCAGUACCAUAGAUGUGGCCAUCAAGAGCAACAGCAGCUGUGGAAUGCAGUCAGCCUGAGAGUGUGAAAUGCACUAUGUGUGCUUGGAUGGAAGAGCCAGAGGGCUGGAGUUGCCCGCUCCCUUUAGAGCCCAAAAGAUCAGGAGUCCGAGACAUCUGUCACUGAGCUUUACACCACUGGUCUUGGUUUUACUUUGACCUGAAUGUAACUGUGUCCUGGUUUUUCACUCUUGGAGUAAGAAAAUAUUUAACUUGUUUUGAUUUCACAGGUGCCCACAGUUGAGAGACUUUGGACUUUUAAAGAGACAUUGUGUUUUUAAAGAGAACUUGGUCUUUCAAAGUGUUCAAAAAUGUAAAGCUGUGGAACUUUUAAAGUGAUUUAUAUGUAACUUUUAAAGUGAUUUAGUAUCAAGUGUUUUAUACUGUGAUAUUGACAUUAACAUGAGGUCUUGGGGAUAAACAAAAGAAGGGAAGGUUUAAUAGUAAUGUAUUUGUGGUGUCAGGUUGGCAAGAGAUCAAUUAUCUUGAUUGUUUUCUCUUUCUUUUCUUUUCAUUUUUUUUUUUAACUCAACACAUACUAGAGUUAUCUGGGAAGAGAAACCUCAGUUAAGAAAAAAAUAUUUCCAUCAGAUUUCCUGUAGGCAAGUUCUGUAGAGCAGUUUCUUGAUUAACGAUUCCUGUGGAGGAGCACAGCCCUCUGCAGCCGUGCUGCCCCUGGAUAGGGAGUUCCGAUUUGAAUAGUAAAGCAGAUCAAGCAUGGCAUGGAAAACAAGCCAGUUCUUCCAUGGCUUCUGUCUCAAGGUUCCUGCCUUUAGUUCCUGCCCUGAUUUUCCUCAGUGCUAGAGUAGAACCCGAGAGUCAUAAGAUGGAAUAAACCCUUUCCUCCCCAAGCUGCUUUUGGUCAUAGUGUUUUAUCACAGCAGCAGAACCCUUAAUAAGACACAGCAAUUGCUAGAGGAAAAUACUAAAGUGAGCUUUUAACAAUGAUUUCACAUGCAGUUAACACUUUUCUUCAGUGAACAUUUCAUUAAUUAUUAACCCCCACGCUUCAACAAGUUCAAUAAGGAUUGAGUCCUGAUAUGUCUGAAUGGGGGUAUGUGCACUCAAGAGAUCCUCAGACUUGUAGAAAAAGGCCACGUCACAUGCUCCCUGUUCCUAGCUCUUAAUUACACACAAUUUCUCUCAUUUCUGUAGUUUCCAUUCCACCUUCUUCUAUACAACCAGGAGAGUAUUUGUUCAGCCACUUGUAAGACCUACUGAGCUUGGGAUCAAUGUGAUUGCUUAAUGUAAACGCCUGACAAAAUUCAAUUAUUAAUAUAUCGAAUUAUUAAUAUUAUUAAUACACCAAAUUGAUUAAGGUGCAUCUCCAAACUUAUUUGUUCAUUCCAGUGGGGAUUUUCUGGUUCCCAGUGAACUAUUAAAGCUUCAUUCAAGGAAAUAAAGUAGAGAAAACAGUC